GAUCUCCUACGGGACGCAGCAGUGGGGAAUAUUGCACAAUGGGGGAAACCCUGAUGCAGCAACGCCGCGUGAAUGAAGACGGUUUUCGGAUUGUAAACUUCUUUUCUUAGUGAAGAAGCAAGUGACGGUAGCUAAGGAAUAAGCAUCGGCUAACUACGUGCCAGCAGCCGCGGUAAUACGUAGGAUGCGAGCGUUAUCCGGAAUUACUGGGUGUAAAGGGUGCGCAGGCGGGACUGCAAGUUGGUUGUGAAAUACCGCAGCUUAACUG
rnacentral:rRNA from 1 species